AUGGCAGUAGCCCCUUCUGGUCCUAGUGGACAGAGUGAAAUGAAGAACCCUCCAGGAUCUCCUGAUGCUCCCAUGCUUGCAAGGUUUCACACUGGAGCGGAACUCCUUUGCACGGACUCUCAGAGUGCGGACGCUUCCCUGAAAGCGUUGCGGCAGGACUCAGAUUCAAUCAUUUGCUGUUCCCUGAAGGCUGCUCCUGUGUUCAGCUUCGCUAAUCAAGUCGGCCUCGACAUGUCGGAGGCGAUGCUGAUUGCUCUCCAGGUUUCCCAAGAUCAUGCAUCAGGUACGUGGCCAGCCACCGCUCUGAAUGAAUUGCAGACUCGCCUCUGGGCUCCGGCUGUUUGUAACAAGAUUGAAAGUUUGAAACUCUUGUUGUGUCCAGGGUUUCGCGUACCUCCCCGGCGGCGUGUGCAUGUCGAGCAGGGGUAG
rnacentral:rRNA from 1 species